AACCUCUGAUGGUGGCGUUAACAAAGAAAACAUUCAAAAAGAUUUUGAGGCGAUUGGAGCAGAUGGCUUCGACCCCAUUCUGAAUUCUACAGAACAUUCAGAAAUUAGUUCAAAAGCAGUUAGUGGCUAUACCGACACUUUGGAAUCACUCGGAUCUAAUUGGCCAGAAUCUGCAACAUACGAUGGCAUCAACUCAUCAUUAACAAUAAACGAG